rnacentral:rRNA from 1 species
GACGAACGCUGGCGGCGUGCCUAAUACAUGCAAGUCGAGCGAGCGGAACCAACAGAUUUACUUCGGUAAUGGCGUUGGGAAAGCGAGCGGCGGAUGGGUGAGUAACACGUGGGGAACCUGCCCCUAAGUCUGGGAUACCAUUUGGAAACAGGUGCUAAUACCGGAUAAUAAAGCAGAUCGCAUGAUCAGCUUUUGAAAGGCGGCGUAAGCUGUCGCUAAGGGAUGGCCCCGCGGUGCAUUAGCUAGUUGGUAAGGUAACGGCUUACCAAGGCGACGAUGCAUAGCCGAGUUGAGAGACUGAUCGGCCACAUUGGGACUGAGACACGGCCCAAACUCCUACGGGAGGCAGCAGUAGGGAAUCUUCCACAAUGGACGCAAGUCUGAUGGAGCAACGCCGCGUGAGUGAAGAAGGUUUUCGGAUCGUAAAGCUCUGUUGUUGGUGAAGAAGGAUAGAGGUAGUAACUGGCCUUUAUUUGACGGUAAUCAACCAGAAAGCCACGGCUAACUAC